rnacentral:pre_miRNA from 1 species
UACAUACUCCCUUCGUUCCGAAUUACUUGUCGCACGUAUGGAUGUAUUAUAUAUUUAGAUGUAUUUUAGUUCUAGAUACAUCCAUUUCAGCGACGAGUAAUUUGGAACGGAGGAAGUACUCU